rnacentral:lncRNA from 1 species
GUUUUACAUUCUCCAACCUUUUUACUCUGAGCUUCACUGGAGGAUUCAUGACGAGAAAAGAGAUGACGCUGUGCAGAAAAAUGAUCUUUACCGCUGCAAAAUUUAUCCCUGCCAGAAACGCAAAAUGCUGCAGCACUUAAUUAAAGAAUAUAGAAAGUCACCAAAAUAUUAACAUUAAACCAUGGCCUCCGCCUCUCACUUUUUGCUUAAGAAUCUCACCAGAGGAGAAAUGACAGGAGGGAAGACAAUCUGAAUCUUUCUUCCCACCCCACCCCCAGUCCUCUGAAGAAAGACAUUGUUCAGCAAAUUAAACAGGAUUCAUUCCUUGAAGAAAAAGCACUGAUUCAAAGAGCCUAUAGAUAUUUAAUGGCCAAUCAGUAUUGCUCAGAGGGGAUCUCCUUGGCUUCAUGCAUCAACUGGGUUGCCUGUAACUUUACAAUUCCUUCUCCUUGACUUUGAACUUGAUCAUGUGACUUGUCUUGGCCAAUGGGAAGUUGCCACAUGCAACAUAAGGAGGGGCUUUAAAUAUACCUGUACACUUGGGUGAUCUCUUUUGCACCCCUGCCAUCUCCAUGAGAAGAACACAAGGAAGGUAAGAGACAAGUGGAGCAGGCCUACACAUCUGCCUCCUGAGGUAGAGGCAUCCCAGCAAACCCACAGAU